UUUGCCUUAUUGCAAGGCUACAGACAACCAGCUCUCCAGGCAAUUGCCAUGUUUUCCAUUCCCAAGCAGUCACAUCCCCAUGAAGCAGAAAGGUCAUCUGAAUACACCAUGAAUCUCUAUAUCUAGAUCAAAAUGUGAUCCCACCUUCGAGAUCCACUUCAAAGGACAGCAGAAACUGUAUGGAUACUACAAGACAUGGAGGCGAUUCUCACAAGCAGCAGAAACCAGCCCGAUUUCUGCUGCUCAAGUGCAGCAACAGGAACCGCAUGGCUUCCAGCAGCGGCUCAGCGACAAGGCCACUUAUGAAGCCCACUGCUUAACCCAGGUUUUGGGCAUGAGGGCGCCCAAAAACUGGGAUUACGGAUCGUGUGUCUGCUGUGGCUGCUCGCAGCUGCAGCAGGCACGAGGGGAGGGGGGAGAGGGCACCCCAGGAAUGCACCACCCAAUCACACAGUACUGGGGCUCCGGGGGAUGGGGCACCAUGAGGAGCUUCCCUUCACCUGACCCCCGGAGCUGCCGGGCGAGCCAUGGCUGGGCUCUGGAACCAAGCCACCACUCAUCCAGGUGGGCGAGCCUCACAUUCUUUAUCAUUAUGCUAAGACAACCAUGUUGUUUUUUAAGAACAAGUUCAGAGUCUCAAGGUUCUUGCUGAACUGGUUCCAGUAUGGGGACCCAAUUAGAAGAUCUUUAGAUUUACAUGCUGAAAAAUGAAUAGGCUUCUAUCAAAUUUAGAAUGGUGGUGGUCUUUCUUCAAUGGGCUGGUUCAGACAUCAUGGACUGGUUAUACAUUACGUAGAGCCAAGAUUACAACUUUGGCUUCAUGUGCCAUCAGAGCCUUGGGAAAGAGCGAGUAGGCACGUGCGCACACACACACACACACACACACCCAGAAUAAUUCUUCAUACUGUGUUUAGAAACAAAGCAGGAUCAGCCAUGACAUCCAAACUGCCCUAUCCUAGCUCAUUCUAACCAGAGGUCUUAAAAUAAACCACAAUCUGAACUCUACUUCAAAUCUUGGGUUCAGACUGUGGUUCAUUUUAAGUCCUUUGGUUCAGUGGAUUUGGAUGUUACAACUGAUCCUGGCCUGUUUCUAAUUACAAUCGGAAGCAGAAUUCUUCUGAAGUCACACACAAAGGGGAGGGAGGAACACACCUUCUUGAGGUUCUGAGAUUUCACGUGGAUCCAUGAUUUAAGCUUGACACCAUGUCAUGCCUGAACAGAACCAGUACUUUCAUGACUGAAGGUACUAGGUCUGCUCAGACAUCAUAGAAGAAGAAAAAAGCUUGCUCUGCAAUUUAAAUUUGUCCGUGAUUGAUCUGAACUGCAGGGCAAGAAUUUUCUUUGUGUACCCCACCUCCUUUUCCCUAUCCAUAAACUGUUUUAAAACUCUCUAUCGACUAAAAUUGGUAACUUGGAAUAAAAUCAAUAUAAAACUCUUUAAGAAACAAAACUUUGGGAAGGCACUGAAAAAGUGAAAAUAAUUGCCCAACAGCAAUACAAGAAAUGACUGAAAUAUUUCUGAUCAAGUCAAAUCAAAUGGAGGAACACUUUGAGGCUAUUCUCGUGAGCAGCCACGACCGAGAUAGGGCAGCUAAGCCCAAGCUUGGCUGACCGUGGAAACCUUCGGGAGCCAACUGGCUCCUGGCAGCACUUCGGCAGCAAACCAGCCUAGGGAGCCAGCCUCUAAAAAUGGGGUUAUGGGAGCAAGCACUCCCUUAACCACAUUUCCCUGACCGUGUGCAGCGCUGGCUGCUUUUAGCCAGCACUGUAACACUGAUGGGUGCCCUCCCAUCACUGUGGGAGUCCCCAGAAUGCACCAUGCACUCCUAGGGUGUUCCAAAGAGAGUUUACUAUAAACCGCCAGAGUCACAGGUUUUGGAUGGUAUACAAAUGUUAGACAGACAGACAGGUGUCUUUUUGGUGCCAGCUGAAGAACCUUUUAUUUUCCCAGGACUCUUAAAGUAUCAUUUGAACUGGCGUGUUUUUAUUGCUGUCUUGAUAUGCUGUUUUAUUAUUUUAAAUAUUUACCAUCAUUUGUAAGCUGCCCUGGAAGUAGAAAUACUAGAGGGUAAGAUAUCGAUUUUUAAAUAAAUAUUUCAGCUUCAA